rnacentral:rRNA from 1 species
GACGAACGCUGGCGGCGUGCUUAACACAUGCAAGUCGAACGGAAAGGCCCUGCUUUUGUGGGGUGCUCGAGUGGCGAACGGGUGAGUAACACGUGAGUAACCUGCCCUUGACUUUGGGAUAACUUCAGGAAACUGGGGCUAAUACCGGAUAGGAGCUCCUGCUGCAUGGUGGGGGUUGGAAAGUUUCGGCGGUUGGGGAUGGACUCGCGGCUUAUCAGCUUGUUGGUGGGGUAGUGGCUUACCAAGUCUUUGACGGGUAGGCGGCCUGAGAGGGUGACCGGCCACACUGGGACUGAGAUACGGCCCAGACUCCUACGGGAGGCAGCAGUGGGGAAUAUUGCACAAUGGGCGGAAGCCUGAUGCAGCAACGCCGCGUGCGGGAUGACGGCCUUCGGGUUGUAAACCGCUUUCGCCUGUGACGAAGCGUGAGUGACGGUAAUGGGUAAAGAAGCACCGGCUAACUACGUG